UGAGACUGAACCGGGUUCAACACCUGAGGAAGAGGCUGGUUCAUGGCCUGCGAUUGAACUAAAACAGCCGGAUUCUGAUUUAAAAUCUGAGGCUGAACGGAAUUCAUUACCUGAGGUUGACUUAUCAUCUGUGCCUGGCUCAUCAACUGCGGUGGAUUCAUCAACUGCGAUUUAUCGUUCAUGCUCUCACCCAGAAACCCUAAAACAGAAAUUCCGUUAAAAACCUUUAUGGGUUUCGAAAUCGAAAGCAAAAGAAAUCAAUCUAUGAACCAAACCCCUAAAAUUUGAUUCAAUUUUGGAUCUUCAAAUUUUGAUACGCAAAAAUCCUUUUUGUUUUUUGAGAGAUCUCGAAAAUUCCAGUAUUUCAUUAACAGUACCG
rnacentral:misc_RNA from 1 species